rnacentral:rRNA from 1 species
AUUGAACGCUGGCGGCAGGCCUAACACAUGCAAGUCGAACGGUAACAGGAAGCAGCUUGCUGCUUUGCUGACGAGUGGCGGACGGGUGAGUAAUGUCUGGGAAACUGCCCGAUGGAGGGGGAUAACUACUGGAAACGGUAGCUAAUACCGCAUAACGUCGCAAGACCAAAGAGGGGGACCUUAGGGCCUCUUGCCAUCGGAUGUGCCCAGAUGGGAUUAGCUAGUAGGUGGGGUAACGGCUCACCUAGGCGACGAUCCCUAGCUGGUCUGAGAGGAUGACCAGCCACACUGGAACUGAGACACGGUCCAGACUCCUACGGGAGGCAGCAGUGGGGAAUAUUGCACAAUGGGCGCAAGCCUGAUGCAGCCAUGCCGCGUGUAUGAAGAAGGUCUUCGGGUUGUAAAGUACUUUCAGCGGGGAGGAAGGGAGUAAAGUUAAUACCUUUGCUCAUUGACGUUACCCGCAGAAGAAGCACCGGCUAACUCCGUG